AUACUUACCUGAUAGGGGUGAUAACAUGAUGAUGAAGUUGGUUUUCCCAGAGCAAGGCUUGCCUGUCGCACUCUGGAUGUGCAGACCCCCGUGAUUUUCCCACAUAUGUGGAAAGUUUAACUGCAGAAUUUGUGAUAGUGGAGUUAAAAACUAAAACAAAUGUAAAACUUAU
ensembl:snRNA U1 U1 spliceosomal RNA